GAUCUGCAGUUUAUGUUAGACAAUAUCAAAUCUACCACCCGGGACAAUGAUGGUAACAUCAAAAGCAUUAAGGAUUUUCAGGAUACCUCAGAAGCUCUAGCUUCUGAACUUGACAUACUUGAGGGUGUUGAGAAUGGGAUGGAGUGCAUAUAUACUACAUCAGUGAUGAAACAUGCAGAAGAAAUCUUGGACUUACAGUUGGAAUUAGAUAUAUUGAAGAUUAUUCUCAAA
rnacentral:misc_RNA from 1 species